rnacentral:rRNA from 1 species
GAUGAACGCUGGCGGCGUGCCUAAUACAUGCAAGUCGAGCGAACAGACGAGGAGCUUGCUCCUCUGACGUUAGCGGCGGACGGGUGAGUAACACGUGGAUAACCUACCUAUAAGACUGGGAUAACUUCGGGAAACCGGAGCUAAUACCGGAUAAUAUAUUGAACCGCAUGGUUCAAUAGUGAAAGACGGUUUUGCUGUCACUUAUAGAUGGAUCCGCGCCGCAUUAGCUAGUUGGUAAGGUAACGGCUUACCAAGGCAACGAUGCGUAGCCGACCUGAGAGGGUGAUCGGCCACACUGGAACUGAGACACGGUCCAGACUCCUACGGGAGGCAGCAGUAGGGAAUCUUCCGCAAUGGGCGAAGCCUGACGGAGCAACGCCGCGUGAGUGAUGAAGGUCUUCGGAUCGUAAAACUCUGUUAUUAGGGAAGAACAAAUGUGUAAGUAACUAUGCACGUCUUGACGGUACCUAAUCAGAAAGCCACGGCUAACUACGUG